AUUGAACGCUGGCGGCAGGCCUAACACAUGCAAGUCGAGCGGUAGAGAGGAGCUUGCUUCUCUUGAGAGCGGCGGACGGGUGAGUAAUGCCUAGGAAUCUGCCUGUUAGUGGGGGAUAACUCGGGGAAACUCGAGCUAAUACCGCAUACGUCCUACGGGAGAAAGUGGGGGAUCUUCGGACCUCACGCUAACAGAUGAGCCUAGGUCGGAUUAGCUAGUUGGUAGGGUAAAGGCCUACCAAGGCGACGAUCCGUAACUGGUCUGAGAGGAUGAUCAGUCACACUGGAACUGAGACACGGUCCAGACUCCUACGGGAGGCAGCAGUGGGGAAUAUUGGACAAUGGGCGCAAGCCUGAUCCAGCCAUGCCGCGUGUGUGAAGAAGGUCUUAGGAUUGUAAAGCACUUUAAGUUGGGAGGAAGGGCUUCAAGUUAAUACCUUGGAGUUUUGACGUUACCGACAGAAUAAGCACCGGCUAACUUCGUGCCAGCCGCCGCUGUAA
rnacentral:rRNA from 1 species